ACCACGAGCAUCACCACAGUCUCGGCUGGAAGCAUCGCUGAGUGGAGCGGUCCCGGGAGAAUCUCCAUCCUCAAGACCUCUCUGCAACUCGCGCAGCGGGAAACAUCGUGUCCGCUUUGAAAUGGAGAACCGGAGAAGUGCCGAGGACCAAAACAAAUGGGAAAGAAGAGCUAGGAAGUAGGACAGAGAAGCAAGAAGUUCCGAUGCGGAGAGAAACGGGGCGGGGGUGGGGAGACAGGGCAGGGAAUCCAGGGAGUUAAGGGCAGCCAGGAGCCGAGCUAUGCCGGAAGAAGCUAUGCCGCACUGCACAGCUUCACCGCAGCUCUGGACGUGCAGCAUGCUGGUGCCCUUACGACGAGCAGUGACCAGUGUCACCAAAAUCCCUCAAUGGGUAAGAGCACCGAUAAAACCAAUAGCCAGAGCUGUGGGAUACUGACCAAGGGAGCUGCAGACACACGUGGAACCAGCCCAAGAGAGAGAAAUGUAUUCCAGUCAACAAAGCUGGAAGGGUGGAGCCGAAUAAGCCCUUUGACACAGGACUUAGAGACACUGGAUUUGGACUUUGUCCUGCUGAGGUUUGGUCCAGCAUUUCCUCACUGUGUCCCCUUUCCUUUUGGAAUGGUAAUGUAUAUCUUGUGCCAUGGCAUAUUGGAUUUUAUUAAGUGUUACAGUUAGGGAGAAUGCCAUGAGUCUCAGAAGAGACUUUGGACUUUUAAACAGUGUUGAGAUUGUGAAAGGCUAUGGUAGCUUUUGAAGUGGACUGAAUGUAUUUGCAUUAUGAUGUAGCUACAAGCUUGUAGGGGACAGAGAGUGGAAUGUGGUGGUUUAGAUGAGAAUAUCUGUCAUAUAUUUGAAUGCUUGGUCCCUAGUUGGUGGAACUGUUUUGGGGUGACUAGGACAUAGAUGGAGUUUUCCUAAGCUGGCAGCCACUUCCCAAAUAACUGACUCGGAGACUUAAUAUAAAUUACAAAUGCUUGACCAAUAGCUCAGGCUUGUUACUAACUAGCUGUUACAACUUAACCCAUUUCUAUUAAUCCAUGUGCUGCCCCAAGGCUCGUGGCUUUUACCUCUAUCCCAUUUUGUGUGUCCAACUUGUUCUACAUCUGGCUAGUGACUCCUCUGACUCCACCCUUCUUCAUCCCAGCAUUCUCUGUGUCUCAGGCUGUCUCACCCAACCCCUGUGCAGCUUUUGGCCAGUCAGCUUUUUAUUAACAAUGAGAGCAAUACAUAUUUACAAUGUACAGAAGGAUUACUCCACAUUGCGAGGAUGUGUGGCCUUGUUGGGGGAGGUGUGUCAUUGUGGCUGGGCUUUGAGGUUUCAAAAGCCCAUGCCAGGCCCAGUCUCUUUUGUUCUAUGCAUCUCGUUUAUGGAAAAGAUGUAAUGUCUCAGCUACUGCUCCAGCACCAUGCCUGCAUCCCUGCUGCCAUGCUUCCCACCAUAGUGGCCAUGGGCUCACCCUUGGACACUGUAACCAAGCCUCCAGUUAAAUUUUUUCUUUUAUAAGUUGCCUUGGUCAUAGUUGUAAGCAUUCUGUAUAUGUGCAGCUCGGGGGUCUUGUCUGGUGCCUUAUUACGUCAUCAGCGGGCGACUGCGUCCCAGCCUAAAAGCCGAACAUGCACCCCCACACUCUCUCUGCACCUCUCUCUCUCUCUCUCUCUCUCUCUCCUCUCUCUCUCCUUCUCCUAAUAAAGCUCUAAAGGGUACCACUGGGUUCUGUCGUGACUGUGACCAGCACCGCCACGGUAACCAGUGCCAGCUACCAGCACUGUAUACCCUUUCAAUAGUGUCUCUUCGCAGCGAUAGAACAGUAGCUAACAGACCUGCCAGGGCCGGGAGACGGUGUCCGAUGCCCUGGAGCUGGGGUUACAGGCACCUGUGAGCUGCACGUGGGUGCUGGACCAAACCCAGGAGGAGCAGCAAGUGCUCUUAGCUGCUGAGCCAUGCGCCCCCCCCCCCCAGUACAACUAUUCUUAUAGCUAUUCCUGGGGUAUAUGAACAAUUCUCAGAGGAAAACGGAUUUUGAACAGAAACAGUUAAGCAGUCCUGCUUUCUCUUGCUAAGCCUGUGGUACCUCAUCAUGGUUCCCUCAACACACAAACAAGGAAGUGGAGGGACUUUGUUUCCUGCCUGGGACCCCCAAGAUGUAGACUGUCCCUCUGUCCAUCACCAGAAUGCCCAGGGCCUGCAAUGGUUCCAGUCCCUCCAUCUUUGAUAUGCAUUAGCCAGGGUUCUCCAGGGCAUCAUAAGGGACAGAAUGAACAUAUGUAACAAAGGGCACUUGUUAAAUUGUCUUACGGGAUACGGGAUGGACAGUGCAGCAAUAGCCGUCUGAAUUCUGCAGAGGUUGAGUGCCUUGCAACUGUCUCGUCCACGAGGCUGGGUGUCUUACCAGUCCCGAUCUGGCACUGAAGGCCUGGAGGGAUCCUGGAGAAUCAUUAGUCUUCAGUCCACCUUGCAAAGCUGAACAGGCUGGGUUUUGAUGUCAGGUAGUGGUGGAGGCAACAUCAGAAUAGACGCACUCACCAGCAAGAGGCAAAGGCCAGCAGGGAGGUCUCCCUUCCCCUUAGACCUUACCGUCACUGGGCAGACUGGAAAGUACUGCCACUCUACGGGCUUGUCUCCCCGCCCUACCACCAGCUAAUGUUUCCUGGAGAUGCUCUCACAGACAAGCCAGGCUGAUCUCUUACAUGGCCCCAGAUCCAAUCAAAUUGACAGCCAAAGUUAGCUAGCACACUUGUCAGAGGUUGGGAUGUCACCCUGGGUCUGGCCCCUUGGUUGUGACCUUUGAACUGGCAUUGCCUCCAAGGCUCCUGUCUCAGUUAGGGUUUCCAUUGCUGUGAAGAGACACCAUGACCACAGCAACUCUUAUAAAGGAAAACUCUUAAUCGCAGCGGCUUGCUUGCAGUUUCUGAAGUUCAGUCCAUUGUCAUCAU